rnacentral:rRNA from 1 species
UCGUAACAAGGUCUCCGUUGGUGAACCAGCGGAGGGAUCAUUACCGAGUCUAAAAACUCAUCAACCCUGUGAACAUACCUAAACGUUGCUUCGGCGGGAACAGACGGCCCCGUAACACGGGCCGCCCCCGCCAGAGGACCCCCUAACUCUGUUUCUAUAAAUGUUUUUUCUGAGUAAACAAGCAAAUAAAUUAAAACUUUCAACAACGGAUCUCUUGGCUCUGGCAUCGAUGAAGAACGCAGCGAAAUGCGAUAAGUAAUGUGAAUUGCAGAAUUCAGUGAAUCAUCGAAUCUUUGAACGCACAUUGCGCCCGCCAGUAUUCUGGCGGGCAUGCCUGUUCGAGCGUCAUUACAACCCUCAGGCCCCCGGGCCUGGCGUUGGGGAUCGGCGGAGCCCCCCGUGGGCACACGCCGUCCUCCAAAUACAGUGGCGGUCCCGCCGCAGCUUCCAUUGCGUAGUAGCUAACACCUCGCAACUGGAGAGCGGCGCGGCCACGCCGUAAAACACCCAACUUCUGAAUGUUGACCUCGAAUCAGGUAGGAAUACCCGCUGAACUUAAGCAUAUCAAUAA